rnacentral:rRNA from 1 species
GUGUCAGCAGCCGCGGUAAUACGUAGGGUGCGGGCGUUAAUCGGAAUUACUGGGCGUAAAGCGUGCGCAGGCGGUUUGGCAAGUCAGAUGUGAAAUCCCCGAGCUCAACUUGGGAACUGCGUUUGAAACUGCCAGACUAGAAUAUGUCAGAGGGGGGUAGAAUUCCACGUAUAGCAGUGAAAUGCGUAGAGAUGUGGAGGAAUACCAAUGGCGAAGGCAGCCCCCUGGGAUAAUAUUGACGCUCAUGCACGAAAGCGUGGGGAGCAAACAGGAUUAGAAACCCGUGUAGUCC